UACGGAGGGGGCUAGCGUUGUUCGGAAUUACUGGGCGUAAAGCGCACGUAGGCGGCUUUGUAAGUUAGAGGUGAAAGCCCGGGGCUCAACUCCGGAAUUGCCUUUAAGACUGCAUCGCUAGAAUUGUGGAGAGGUAAGUGGAAUUCCGAGUGUAGAGGUGAAAUUCGUAGAUAUUCGGAAGAACACCAGUGGCGAAGGCGACUCUUUGGCCUGUAACUGACACUGAGGCGCGAAAGCGUGGGGAGCAAACAGG
rnacentral:rRNA from 1 species